rnacentral:rRNA from 1 species
AUUGAACGCUGGCGGCAGGCCUAACACAUGCAAGUCGAGCGGAUGAAGGGAGCUUGCUCCUGGAUUCAGCGGCGGACGGGUGAGUAAUGCCUAGGAAUCUGCCUGGUAGUGGGGGAUAACGUCCGGAAACGGGCGCUAAUACCGCAUACGUCCUGAGGGAGAAAGUGGGGGAUCUUCGGACCUCACGCUAUCAGAUGAGCCUAGGUCGGAUUAGCUAGUUGGUGGGGUAAAGGCCUACCAGGGAGACGAUCCGUAACUGGUCUGAGAGGAUGAUCAGUCACACUGGAACUGAGACACGGUCCAUGCUCCUACGGGAGGCAGCAGUGGGGAAUAUUGGACAAUGGGCGAAAGCCUGAUCCAGCCAUGCCGCGUGUGUGAAGAAGGUCUUCGGAUUGUAAAGCACUUUAAGUUGGGAGGAAGGGCAGUAAGUUAAUACCUUGCUGUAUUGACGUUAACAACAGAAUAAGCACCGGCUAACUACGUG